rnacentral:tRNA from 1 species
AAGAUAUUAGUAAAACGCAUAUUACAUUACCUUGUCAAGGUAAAAUUGUAGGUUAAAUUCCUGCAUGUCUUA